ACGCUCGACACCUACGGGAGGCAGCAGUGGGGAAUAUUGCACAAUGGGGGAAACCCUGAUGCAGCGACGCCGUGUGAGUGAAGAAGUAUUUCGGUAUGUAAAGCUCUAUCAGCAGGGAAGAAGAUGACGGUACCUGAGUAAGAAGCCCCGGCUAACUACGUGCCAACAGCCGCGGUAAUCUGAGCGGGCUGGCAAGGC
rnacentral:rRNA from 1 species